rnacentral:rRNA from 1 species
UACGGAGGGUGCGAGCGUUGUCCGGAAUCACUGGGCGUAAAGGGCGCGUAGGCGGCGCGAGUAGUCAACGGUGAAAGCCCGGGGCUCAACCCCGGGUCGGCCGUCGAUACUCUCGUGCUUGAGCACUGUAGAGGCAGGUGGAAUUCCGGGUGUAGCGGUGGAAUGCGUAGAGAUCCGGAAGAACACCGGUGGCGAAGGCGGCCUGCUGGGCAGUAGCUGACGCUGAGGCGCGAAAGCCAGGGGAGCAAACGGG